UCCAAGUGCAAGCCACAGCCAGAAGCUUGUCUAAUUAAGCCACCAUCUCUUCUUUUUUCCUUGUACAAGACUACAACUGGGAAGAGAUCCAUGGCAAUGACAAUGGCAAUGGCAAAGAGGGAGAAGAAGCUGCAGUGCCCAACUUUCACCUGCCGGUGCCGAUUGCUAGUGAAAGAACAGAGGGCGAAGUUCUACAUUCUUCGGAGAUGUAUCAUGAUGCUAAUUUGCUGGAGUGAAAGUGAAGAAGAUCUUUGACAGCAUAAGAUGAGUCCAUUUAAAUUUAGAGCUAGUGAAGAGGGAAGAUAUAUAGAUGUGGUGUAGUAUUUGAUAUAUGUUUAUACACUUUAGCUCUGGAAUUUAGGUCUCCUGAAGCCACAGCUAGCUCGUGUAUAUCAUGCAACAGAUCAUCUUUCGAGGAGUAUGUUGUUGCUGAUUUUGUUUUUCUUUGCUGAUAUAUGGUUUUUGUUGAUAUGAGAAGUGUUUUAGUUUAGUUUAUUUUGUUUCCUUUAAAGCCAACUCCAGUUUGCAUGAUUUUCUGUAUUACUUUAAUUUCUUUUUAAUGCUCUCGUUCAUUUUACUGUAGGUGUAAUCGAUAUUUGAUAUUUGUAGAUAAACUUUUCUCCCUUGGCAUUAAACGAUUCAUGACUACUCCUGGAACUUUACAGCUUUUUUAUAUUAUGAAGCAGAAUCAACUGCUUUAAUUACUUGAUGAUGAUCCUUUCAUUGUUAACCUGAAAAGUUUUUUUCUUUCUCUUUGACGAAGAAUCUCGUAGUUUCUGUUGUUUUAGUGUUGAUUUAUGCACAAACUUUCUUUUUCUUUAACGUCUUCUCUCUUUUUCCCGGAGACAAAUAAGAAACUCUCUCUGCAAAUGCUUAAGAGAGGAUCGUGGUGUUCUUUACAUUCAUGAUGGAUAAGAAUUCUGCAGCUGAACCAAUUCAUCUCUCUUGAGAAGAUGAAUCACAGAUACUGAUGCUAACAAAGGGUCAGAACUCACAAGUUCAUCCUGAGAAUUAAUUAACACAUGCAAGAAAAGACCGAAGAAGGAAAGGAUGAAUCAUGCAAGAAAAGGAGCUAGCUGUCUGCAUGGAAACUUGAGUGUGUGACGGGUGAUGGCGACGCGAGGCAGGACGGACGUGGGAGGCCGACAGCGGGAAUCCUUGAAAUUGCGAGGGCAAAUUAAAGGCCUUUCGAUCGAAUAUUUUGCUGGAUUGGUUGCUUUUCUUCUUCAGGGGUCGGGAGGGAGGGAGACAUCGAGGUGCCACUCCACGUGGGAAACGACAGGCGAACUGGGGACGAGGUUUGGCGCCAACACGCUACGAGAUGAAGAGUCCCGGUGCAAUUGAUUUCUCUGCUGUUCCUAGUGUUGAAAAAGGCAUGGCAUUGCAUUGGGGUUAGUUAAUUAAUUGAUGUUUCAUGGAAAUCCAUUGAUCAUGAAGCAGAGUAGAGUAGAGUACUUGGAAGGGUCGAAAAUGGCAACAGCAAAGUGGGGAGGUGACGCAGCUGUGAGGAGCUAGCUAGCAAGGAUCGGACUGGCAGGGCUUCAUGCUUUUGUGUUGCUGACCUUAGAAAUUUCCAUGCAUGAGCGUGGGUUGUGGACUGCCUGGCCUACGAACAAGUCGGAGCAUAAUUAAUAUUGGCACCGUCUAAAUUUUGAACUGCA